GAUUCUCAUUUGAGAGUUGUGAAUUCCCCUCCUUGACUUCUGUAAAACAAUCGAAAGUCAUCCAGAUACCUACAACCUAGAUAAUUAAGAGCAGAUUAGCUGGAAAGGCAAAUUGAGUCAGGCUUAACUGAACGGUACCUUCCAGAGUGUAGAAAAGUUGUCCUUUUAAUGUACUUAGUACCACAGUUUAACAUAUUAUUAAUAUUCGUUAAAUAGGCAUAAUUUCAGGAUGGACAUGCUCAAAGCAAUUUGUUUUAGAUUCACACUGACGUUACAUUCAUAAACACUUCCCCCUUUACAUGAAUGGGCCUUGUAGCUGUCAGCGAAUAGGUUAUGUACAUAAUACAUAUCUGAGAAUUAGAUUGUCUAGGUCUGCCUGGUGCCUGUCAUGUGAGUUUUUCUCUGAUGCGAAAAUUGUCACAACUUCCAUCCACAACAAUGCCCUACAACACCAGAAUAUUUUAUAAGACUUAUUGUGUGUCUAAUAUAUAUAAUUGUUUGAAUCGUUUUUGAAAAUCAAAAGGAAAUUAAGCAGUGGUCUGCCAACUGGUUAGCACGCUGUCUAUUCAAAUUAUGUUUGAUAAGUACAGGUUUUAAUACACGUACCAAAAGUCCUACUUUUGUAAGUUAAUUUGUUUUGGUUUGGUUUGGUUUUUCGAGACAGGGUUUCUCUGUAUAGCCUUGGCUGUCCUGGAACUCACUUUGUAGACCAGGCUGUCCUUGAACUCAGAAAUCCACCUGCCUCUGCCUCCCAAGUGCUCAGAUUAAAGGCAUGCGCCACCAUGCCUGGCUAAUAUUAAUUUUUGAUCCAAAAUUUUGUUCAAAUUUUCAAUUAUGUAUCAAUAACAAAGCAGUUUAAUGUUCUGCAUCUACCAUUUCAUUUCAUUCCUUUUGUUGAACUUUGCAUGUAAAUGUAACAGAUUUGGAUUUGCCCAGGCUCGUUAGGGUAAGCAUCUAGUUUCAAUACGUGGGUUAGGCUGAGGCAGUAGGAUUAUUAGGUGGACACCAACUUGGGUUACAUAAGGAGACCUCGUAAAAGAAAGAGAGGUGAGGAGAGUUUGAUAGAGAGGGAAGAAGGGAGAAAAGGAACUAAAGAAGAUAUUGACAACCAAAAAUUGAUGCCUUUUUAUAUAGAAAUAUAACAUUUUUCUGAUUGCUGCUUUGUGCCUUGGGGCAAUAAUAUAACACAAAGAUCUAUUCACAAAGAUCUUUGUCUCUGUACCCACAACUACAGUUACAGCCGGUUCUUGUAUUCAUGACUUGGUACUUGUAUUCUGUGACCAGAAAAAAUAAUUAAUUGCUGAGAUGAGGGAAAUAGCUAAUAGGGCAAAGUGCUUGUCACAAAUUCAUGAGGACCAGAGGUCAGUUCACUGGCACCUAGAAUAAAAACUUGGACAUAAAGGAAACAUGCUUCUAUAAUCCUGGCCAGUUAGUGUAACAAGUGAGAAAGCUCCAUCCUUUAAGAGACUAUGUCAAAAAAUAGCUUCUAUAGACACACACGGAUAUAUAAACAAGCUUGCACACCUGCACAUACACCUGCACACAGACACACACACACACACACACACACACACACACACACCACAGUGUUAACUUUGUGACAUUAGGAAUAAGAAAUAUCUAUAAGUUUAACAAAAGACAUCUUAGCAAGACUAGCUCCUCCUUCUUCAGUACCACUCCCAUGGGGUCUUCUGGGGCAUAUUCUUUUGUAGAUGAUGAACUCCCAGAUAUGGAAUAGGUGGCCUCCCACCUUUUGAAGCAGGUGCUUUGGCUUAUAUUGUUCCUGAAGUCUCAGAAGUGCCCAGGGCCUACAGGAGACUAGAUUGUAGUUCUGAGUGGAGAAAAAUAGCCCUUGGGUAGUUCUGCCAACUCUCCCUUAUUGAGCUUGGUUUCUGACACUGGAAAGCAGCAUAUUUUAGUUUAUUUAUAGAAAGCCUUAAAUUAAUGCAAGUAGAGUGUGGGAAAAAGCAGAAUUCUUCUUAAUUUUCCAUAUAUAUUUUUCUGUGUAGAUAUCUGUGUAGUUGAUCUUACUCAGUCAUUAGAAUUUUAAGCUAUCAAGCUAUUUUUGAGUAAAAAGUUGUUUUCAUUACCUGUAAAUACAUUAUUAUUAUUACUACUACUAUUAGAGAAAAUGUUAAUGAGUAUAGAGUUUAAAGUUGCUGCAUAAAAUUCCCAAGGGAUACAUUAACGUUAUUUUGAUUUCUUUUCAUGUCAGCACAAUAGGAAUUGAAGGAAGGUUUAUUAUUAUUAUCCAGGAUACGAUAGUAAACUAAUAUAUCUAUAUGAUCCAACAUUUUACAUUCAAAAUAUAAUUAUAAAUAUAGUUAUUGUGAUAUGCUUAAUGAAAUAUAAAUCCUCUUCUAAAGGUUGUUGAAUGAAGAUGAAAUUUAUCUACAAGCAUACUAAUAUCAGAGCAUAUACAAAGCUUUAGCUCAUAUUCAUGAAUGUAAUUCUGGUUAAUAUGCUAUGGUUUAUGUUUUUCUUGAAGUAUAUUUUUUAUAUACAAAUAUAGUGAAUAAUACUAGAGUUUCCAAUAAUGAUACAGCUUAUGAAAAAUCAUUUGGAAUUAUAAAACACAAAAUAUAUAUAGUAGAGUAUAUGUAGAAUAUAUGGAACUUAGGGGAAAAAUUCAUAAACUCUUUGGUACAUAAAUUGUAUAACUUUGGAUUGAUAAGUCUAUGGGCCUUUUGUCUAUUCCUGUGAUUUCUUCUCUAUCCAUCAGUCUCUGCUUUUCAGUCUUCGUUGAACUUUGCUAACUUAGUCCUUCCACAGAAUUGAUCAGUUGUUCCUUUACAAAUCUCCCUGCUUAUUGCACCCUGUACUUACCAGAUUCCAUUUCUCCUUUCUGCCUGUCCCUCAACUGCCCUCUUAACCUCAUCCAUCUUCCAAUCUGAGUGUCUUAGACAGAGCUGAUCCUCAUUCCCAGAGCAGGGUCACCUAUUUUCAAAGAGCCAUCUAUGAUCAUUUCACCAUCUCCUUAUGAUACUUCACUAGAGGACUGAUGCUUCUUAAGUACUUCCGCCUCAAUUUCCAUCCUCAGAGCAUCCCUACUUCAUUGUGCCAUCUUACCCCAAAUCAACUUGAAAAACAAACAGUGAAAUCUGAGAAAGAAAGUGAGGCCUCCUGGACCACAGAGAAAUGAAUAACCCUUGACGUUAUUUAGAGUCUGCUUGGAUUGUCAGGUAUAAUGGUCUCCAAAUCAGAAAUGCUGGAAAGUCUGGUGAAAACAAUCAUGGAUCCUGACUGUGAUCUGCAAAUCAGGAUACUACAAAAGAAGAUGUAACGUUAGUAAAAUCAAAAAAGCUGUACCGCUUUCUGAUAAGCAAGCAGUAGAUGGGAGAAAGGGAUAGUUCUCUGAAAAUCCACCUCAGCAAAGAAAAUAUCCUUCUAAAAUAACUAUUGAAGUAGGAAUCACAUUAGAAAUUUAAGAGUAAUAUUCAAGGGGUUCUCAUACAAAUCUAAGCACAAAUCAGUGAAGGUAUGGAGGGGAGAGAGGUAUAGCUAUAGUUUUCUAGUAAUAUAAUUUUUAUUUGCAUAUAAUAUAUAAAACCUGUGCAGUGUGCAUGAUGUUACUUGUAUGUCUAUUUUCUGGGCUAUUUGGUAUUGGUGUGCUCUUCCCUGGAGAAGACCAUGUCUCCUGCUCUCAUCUUUUCUUAGUUGCCUGUAGUUCUUUGUCUGUGAUUAAGAACUCAUGUUUUCCCCCAUCCAUAUUAGCUUGAAUCAUUACUUUCAGUCUUUGACUCCAUUGUUAUUGGCUUUUAAAUAUUACAUGACUUCUCUAAUAUUAUACACCUUGUCUAAAUUUUACUAGGAAUUCUGUCCUUAUUGGGGUUUAAAGAUCUAUAAACUUAUCUUCAAGAUACAGAGUAUGUGAAGUUUGUUGUUGAGUUGUCUUGAUAGAAACUAGUCUCCCUAUCCUCCAAAAUUAUAAAGUGAAUCAUUCAUAUAAAAACACUGAUAAUCAUAAUCCUAUGAAUUAACCCAGAUUGUGGGUUAAAAAUCUACAUUGUGCUGUUCACGUAGACAGAUUGAUAUUUUUAAAAUUGUGAUGUGAUAAACUGAUAGAUAGAUGAACACAUGAUACAUAUAUACAAACACACAUAUACAUAGAAACAAGUAUACAUAGACCCUUUGUGGCUUGAUAACUUAUGUUUUAGGGUGGAAUAGCAUUUCAUUAUCUGGAUAUGCCAUGAGUUAUCCAUUCAUCUGCUGAAAGCUAUCUUACCUCCAAGUUUCAGAUAUUGCAAGCUCUUUUGAAUGUUUGUGUGUAAGUACCAAGGUGCAUAAUUAUUAGAGCGUGCAAUCAAAGCGUACAUAGUUUUACAAGAGAUCGUUACUGUCUUGCAUGGUGGUGGGGCCCGUUUGCAUUCUCACACAUGUGACCAAGAGCACUGCAGCUCUACCUCCUCAUUAGAAUCUGCUGUUACUGAUAUUCAGGUGUCUACAUGUAGUUCUAACAGGCCUGUACCAAUAUGUCACUUAAUUUUAAUUUCCUUGAUGAUAUAUGAUGUAUAGGGUUUUUUUUUUCAUCCUUUGAGAGGUGCCAAACCUUCAUUCAUUUUAAUUUCACUAGUUUUUUUAUAUCAUUAAGUCUUAGAAACUCUUUGGAUAUAUUUAGGAACAAUCCCUUAUAAAGUUUAAUAAAAUGACUCUUUUACAAAUCUUUUCUCACAGUCCAUGAGUUUUUUUCUCAUUCUCUUGAUUUGCCUGAAAGAUUCCUGAUGCUGGGUAGAGAACGUGACAUUUUAUAUUAUUCUGGACACUAAAAAAAUCAAGGAAGAGCAGAAGAGCCUGAGAGAUGAGAGGAUUUCUUCUCAGCAUGCUGGCUUCCAUUUGCACUUAGCUGUCUCUCCUUUUGUAAGGAAAGUAGAGGACUCAUUAUAUUUACCACAUCUCUGUAGCAACUUUGAUAUCUAAAACUUGAUGGAAGCAUUCCAGGCUUAGUGAACUUGAGAAUGAUUGAGUAGUGUCUGGGCAUGUUCAAGGAUAUAUAUGAAAGAGAGCAUUAAGUAACCUUCUAACUAAACAUAUACUGAUCGUGUUCCCCUCAUCCACCCCUAUACUUGCUACUGAGCAAAUUCCACUUAGUAGAAUGCAAGAUGUUACAGCAAAUUUCACAUAAGUGUAUAUGUGAAACAAACACUGGAGUGUUAAUCAUGAGAUAACUCCCCAAAGUCCAUGCCCUUUCUUGAUGCAAAGAUAAAGCAUGUCUGUUUUCAUUAACAGUGAAUAGAGGUUCUCCAGACUGUGGGUAAAGCACUGCCAUCCAGUGCAGAGUUCCUAUGGGAACUCAUGGGCCAGCGACCCUGACAUUUACAUCUACCCCCUCAAAAAUCCCCUCCACAGCAAAAGAUCAUUCAUCAAACAAGAUAGAAAGCCAGCACUAAUAUCUGUGUUAUACUCUAACCUCCAUAUAUAGGAUGUGUACACCCACACAUGUACACACACACAUCAUACCUCACACACGUACAUCACACACAUAUACACAUAUCACACACAUCACACACACAUGCAAAUACACAUACACAUAUAUCACUCACUCACACAUCAUACAAACUCAGGCAUGCAUACACAUACAUCAUACAUUGAUACUAAUUGCUGUUUCCCCAUGUGCAAUGCAAGA